rnacentral:rRNA from 1 species
AUAGCGUAUAUUAAAGUUGUUGCAGUUAAAAAGCUCGUAGUUGAAUUUCGGGAUCAAUUAGUCGGUCGUGCCUCUGGUACGUACUGGUUUUAUUGGUUCCUCCCUUCUGACGAAACAUGAUGUCAUUAAUUUGGUGUCGUGGAGAAUCAGGACUGUUACCUUGAAAAAAUUAGAGUGUUUAUAGCAGGCUAACGCUUGAAUACAUUAGCAUGGAAUAAUGAAAUAGGACGUUCGACCCUAUUUUGUUGGUUUCUAGGAUCGACGUAAUGAUUAAUAGGGAUAGUUGGGGGCAUUAGUAUUCAAUUGUCAGAGGUGAAAUUCUUGGAUUUAUUGAAGACUAACUACUG